CCUAAACUGUAGGAACCUAGGAAUACACAUUCAUACCCGCCUGUGACUGAUGCACACCUUCCAGGCUGUGGGGCAGCACAUACACGGACACAUUGGCCCAAAUUCUAGAGGUAACCUCCUUUAGUAUGCCCAGAGGAAGGGCAGUACAGUAGCCAUGGAUUCCCUACAGGUUUCCUCCCCUCUGGAGGUUUUUCCUGUCCUGAGUUAGUUACUGUCCGCUCUUUGUGAGUGAUGGAGGUUACAUAAAAUCCCUACACAAACAUUUUGGUAAAUAAUAAAUAAAGUUCCCCUUUGUUUAAACUGUU